rfam:Haemonchus contortus, ISE/inbred ISE, WGS project CAVP01000000 data, contig: Hcontortus_30187
GGCACAAACUUUAAGUAGAAUAGUUGGGUAUGGUCAGCUGAUCCUACUAAUCUACUCUACUACAGGUUUGUCCCC